AUGGACAAAUAUCGACCAAAGAGACCAACUACCCUGGCUCUGUUUCCACAGCUGCCACAAGCCGGCACCCAGGACUCCAUCAACAACAACUCUUUGGGCAAGAAGGACAGUUGGAAGGAGGCCCACUCCUCCUCCCCACACAUAACAGGGGAUCUAGCUGCAGUGGACGUCCAACCCAAAGUUGGGGACAAAGUCCAGCACAGCACCCGCCGUCCAGCCCCCAAACCACCCACAGCCAAUGGAGCCAAAGGCAGAGGCAGCGCUCAGACGGCGCCCACCGCCGCAGACAGUCGCACCCGAGCACUGGACAGACAUGUGCCGGCGAUCACACACACACAGGCUUCCAGCACACCGCGGAGUCAGCGACAAGGAGGAGGAGGAGGAGGGGGAGGAGGAAGAGGCCUGGGUAAAGGAGCAACGGCAAUGAGAGACAGGAACCUGGGAGAGGUCAAAGGAAAGAAUGGAGUGACCGCAGGGAAGGAGGAGAGACGAGGAGGACGACUGUGUGAGUCCAGGGAGAGAGAGAGAGACGCGCCUCAGAGGCCGAGAGAAGCCAACGGGCUGAAAAGCCGGGGGGGCGACAGGAAAGGAAAAGUGGGCGCCAAAGCAGGGAACAGAGGUGGAUUCAAGCAAAACAACUUAAUGUCUAGCCACGAGGUUUAUCUGACGGCCAUGGUGGUUCCACGCACGCCCGUGGCACCGAGGACCCAGGACCAGGCCCCAGACCCAGGCCAAAAUCACGACGGGACCCAGGACAACCCUCCUGCCCUUUCUAGGUCAAGCAGCGAGGGGGGGUCGAACAGAAUGUCCCUCAGCUCUGACACAGAAGGGCCCCCACCAGGACCCCUUCACCCAUCUCUGUCCCACCGAAUCAACCCGGACAUCAGCGAAGAGGAGGGAGAGGUGGACAACGGGCCGACCCACUGCCCCCCGGCGGUGGACGGCACCGAGCCGGAGGUGGACCCGGGGGGGGGCGGGGACCCGACAGCGGAGGCGGACGGCACAAACUCUAUCACUCAGGGAGAUUCUGUAGCUGCUGAGACUGUACCAAAAAGCGAACCCACAGCGGGCUUAGAGUAUGACUCUGUCAAAUACACUCUGGUGGUGGAUGAACACGCUCAGCUGGAGCUGGUCAGCCUCAAGGACUGCUUGAACGGUUAUGAGCACAACGGGGACAGCGAUGCAGAAACAGUGUAUCAGUCGGCCAAUGAGGAGGAAGAUCCAGAGUACGAGGAGGAGAGGAAGAGGAGGGAGCAGAUCAGGAAGCAAGGUAAAGCGUCCAUGAACGAAGGUGGUGCAUGUGUUACGCAAUAAGAAUGAUGAGCUAAAGUUGAAGUCACAGUGAGACGAACAGAAAGGGUAAAAACUUCUACUGCUGGGUAAACGCAUGUAGGGAGUGAGGUGGAACCCCCAGAGAGGCCUGAGCUCCCUAUGCCAGCUGUCUAAACACAUAAUGGACUCAACCAGCGACACUUGACAGCUUCCAGUUUGCACUGAGCAGGUGGGACGUACGUCCCCUUCCCCUUUACGGGGCUCCAGAACCUCCUCAGCUGUCUAUGCUGCCGAACACUCAGAUGGCACCAGCACAGAGUCACAGUGCACGUGACUCUGUGCUGGCUAGAACAAUGACUGCGGCCUGGACCUGGUGCUUGUUACGGACAAGCUGUGACUGGCACAGAGGUCCAUUAACAGAACCAGGUCCAUACAGGUCUCCCCAUCACACGUGUCCAGGUACCAGUGUGAG
ensembl:lncRNA